UGAAAUAACUUUGAGUUACUCUCGUCUUUAUUGUCAUUAGACAGAAUCCAUUCUUCCAAACUGGGAGAAAACGGUGAACAUCCUGAAAGGAGUGCUUACUGAAUGUUUGAAUUCUGCCAUGAUUGGAGAGAAGAGGACCAUGAAGGCGAAUGUAACUCUGUCUUUGAAGCAUCAGGAGCAGAGGUUCAGGAGGAUGUAUGCCGAUGAAAUGCCCACAACCUCAGUGCAAAUUUGAGUGGUGCUGGAACUGUGGAUUGGAAUGGAAUUGCAACUGCAUGGGAGGUCACUGGUUUGACUAGACAUGGAGUAAAAUUUAAAGCAGUAAAGCUCUCCAUUGGCAAUCUUAAUACUGGGAAUGAGAGCACAACAAAUCUAUAGUUCUGUUGAUAUUUGCUUAGUUUUCUUUCUCUCCGAAAAAAGCUGGUUCAACUGUAAGGGGUUUUUUUCUAACACUCUAUCAGAGAGAAUUAUGAAAGUCCAUCUUUACAUGUGAUUGGAUAGAUGUAUCUAAGUGUUGCAGUAUUGUUUACUGGUAGCAUUUCAACGUGACGGUCACUUCUGUGCCAGAAGGUAGUUGACUCUUGUUUCCUGGUAGAUUUGCUAGACUUGUGUUCCCCUUGAAACUAACUUCCUCUAGCUUUAUUUAUUCUAUUUUAGCAGCAGUAGCAAUGGUUCAGUGAGCCUAGGAUGUGUUUGGAGUGAACUUUGAGGUCCAUUUUAUACCACUGGGUUUGUUACAAUUGAAUUGCAAUGGAUAUUUUUUUAAAGCUGUUUCUCUGGCUUUGCUAACUAAAGAAUUUUAUAUAUUUCUUUGAGAGAAUGCCAUUGCACAAAGGAUUCCAUGGUGCCCAAAGCAAGGGAAAAACUGUCUGACCAAUAGAUGUUUUGGCUGUCAAGAAUUGCACCCAU